GAAGCUGUUCGCAAAACACAUCAAGGUUGAUGAACAGAUAAAGUCAUUGAGUAAAGGUGUGACCCAAAUUGCUGUUGGAAUUCCUGGGAGAAUGUGUGCCGUUAGAGAAAGAGGGUUUGACUACACAAGCACUGAGAUAUCUGGUUCUGGACUGGAACUACAGAGACCAUUAGCACAGGAGAAUGGUGGAUAUACCAGAGGUGAAAGGAGACUUGCUGAAAAUGAUGGACCAUGGUCUAAUCCAGAGCUGCAGGGAAGGAACCGUUAAAAUAGGACUCUUUUAAGCAGACAUUGUGUUCUCUGUUAUUUACACAUUCAUGUUCAUUUACUUGUUCAGCAUGUA